rnacentral:rRNA from 1 species
GUGGAUUAGAUACCCUGGUAGUCCACGCCGUAAACGAUGCGCGCUAGAUCGGUGCGGCUCUGACGCCGGAUCGGUCGAAGUAAAAACGAUAAGCGCGCCGCCUGGGGAGUACGGUCGCAAGGCUAAAACUCAAAGAAAUUGACGGGGGCUCACACAAGCGGUGGAGCAUGUUGCUUAAUUCGAGGCAACGCGAAGAACCUUACCUGGGUUUGACAUGGUCGGAUUAACCCCAUGAAAGUGGGGCCACACCCGCAAGGGUGGAACGAUCACAGGUGCUGCACGGCCGUCGCCAGCU